AUCUUUCAAAAUAAAAUACUGGCAUUUUUCACACACACGGAAUUACAGGAAAGUUGCAGGGUAACGGUGUAUAGGUUCAAAUUUUUUAGGUAAAAUAAAAUCUACCCUUUUCCUUUUGUUUUUACAGGUAGAGGAGGACAGUAAAUCAAAAACAAUGUUUGAUGAUUAAAAAUGUUUCUAGCAGCAUCUCCAUUAAUCUGAAAGCCAUUGGAUUUUUACUUUGUUCAAUGGGAUUCUUUUCACCUAGUUUUGCUUACUAGGAAGUAAACAGCUCAACAACUUCUGAUUGAAGCCGUUUCAUUCAUUGGAGAAACCAUGGCACAGUAUCCUUCAUUGCCAUACAUUUAGGAUAGAGUCAUCAUCUUCUGUCUUUAAUGACCACAGAUGAAGAUUUUACAUUAACAAGGUAAGCUAACUCCCUGCCAGAAUUAUGAAAGUCCACCC